GACCCUGUCUCAAAAAUAAUAAUAAUAAUAAUAAAAAGGAUGUUAAAUAUAAUCUGGCUCAGUUUUCUGCCAGUUCCUGAGUCUCUUCAAUGUUCCCACCAUUUGGCCUUUCCAGGCCCUGCCUAAACACCUUCAGAGAUGAGGUAUACACCCCUGACCUGUGCAGCUUAUUCUUUAUGGACAGUGCUCAUUAUUAAAAUGUUCUUCCUGAGCGUGAGAUCCACUCUGUCCUCCGACAGCUCUGCCCCACUAGAGAGACCACACAGUUUGGUUGCCCUCCCAAGUUAGCCUGUCAUACCACCCCUUGGUCUUCCCUAGGCUGAGCACCCCUUUUUCUUCAGCCGUGUCUGAUAACAUGAUCUCAAGCCUCUUCUGAACCCCAGUCCUUCUUGAGUCUCCAUAUGAGCAUUUGUCUCUGUGGGCGCAACUUCCUGUGUCCUUUGUGAGGAAAUGUGCAUCUCUGGUUGGUGAACUUCCAUCCGUCAGAGAGAAAUAGAAGCACAAAUUUGAAACAAGCUGUCUGUUCCUUUAUGUCUUGGAAACUUAUUUAUCCAUCCAAGCUUUUUUUUAAGCCUUUGAGAACAGGCAACCAUCCAAGCUUAUUCCACGAACCCAGAGAAUUAAAUAUACCUGAUUUGUAGCACAAAAUAAAUAAAUGAUAAACAUUCCCUCAAACCUUCCAUCAAGUGGUUUAAAAACUGUCAUUGAUUUUAUGUCCGGAAUUGAAGUUGUUUUGGUGCGUGCCCACACACACACGCAUGUACACACAAAUAUACACUAAUCCUAAAAUGAGAUGGAAGAAAACUCAAAAGUGCCAUAAUUAUGACUAUCAAAAAUAGUGUUACAGCUCUAGAGUCGUUUUGUGUCCUAUUUAUAUCAAAAUCACAUUUGGGAGGUCCUUUAUAGGUGGGAGGUGAGUACAUCAAGAGGAAGAGGUUGUUUGAUUCUUGACCUUUUAGAUUUUUAAGACUCUUUGGCCAGAGUUUUGGAAAAGGGAUUAUGUCAACAAGUAAAGUUAUGGUUUCAGGACUGCCUUAGAAACUUUUUCAAAAGAAGAAAGGAAACAGUUCCCUACUAGGCGUAAAUGGCACCCACCCUAAUUUUUAGCCUUUGCUUUUUGGUGCCUGUAGGGGGAGCCCUUGAUAGCAGAUUUUAUUCCCCCUUCACUGGCUUGGAGUUUGAAAACGCCAGGAGUUCAAGCUGUUUAGGUAAUUUUGGCGUUUGGCCCACCUGCCCCAGCUUUAAAGAACAGUAACUUGUACAAACAAUGCUGACUGAUGCUUGUCAGUCACGUGAGAAGAGAUUAGAAAGAUGAGUGACAUUUAUUAAUUUUUUCUUAAAUUGUAAGCUUGGCUUCAGGAGUGGGAUUGAUUAUUCCAGCAUGUGGAUCUGUGCACAACCAGGUGACUCAUUAAGUCCAUGAACACACACGGACAAGGCAUUGACUUUGCUUCUGUGUUUGUGACUUUUUUUCUUGGAGAGAAGAAAAUGAAGUUGACGUGAAUCAACCUCUUACUGGUAGGGUUUUUAAAAUGCUAUGGUCCCAGAGAAAGCAGAAGACUCAAUAAAAAUGAAAGUCUGCAUCACUUACUGAACUUUAUCAUGUCCUUGGAACUGGACUAUGCGCUUUUCGUACAUAGGGUGGAGGUUAAGUAACGUGCUCAAGCUGGUCAGCUGCAUGGCUAGGAUUCCAACCCACCAGGUCUGGCCUGAGUCUGCUUCCUUCUCAGCCUGGUUGUACGCCUUAGCAAGUCAUGCUGGUUUAUUGGAAGGUCAGCAGUUCCAUAUGAUUCAGCACAGGACUCUGGCAGAGUGAAGUCCAUGGAAAUCCAACCACUCAUGAAGAAUGCACAGGGGAGUAAGGGCAGAAACGCCCAUUCCCACAGGAUCUGCAUGGAACCUCCUGGGAAGCAAGAUGGGAAAUGCGAAGAGCACUGGGCUUGGCCUCAGAAACUUCAAGCACUUUCUGCCCUGCCAUGGGCUAGCUCGGGACCUCAGGCAAGUCGCUGCACCCUGCCUCCAGCUCUGUGACCUUACAGAGUUGUUGCAAGGAUAAUGCUUGGGAAAGUGUCUUCUGAAUUCUUCAAUGACCUAUAAACCUAGAUCCUGCUGCUGACGGGACAUUCUCCAGCAAGGAUGGAGAUGGAUGCUCGGGUCUGAGAGGCCACGCUAUCCUGAGGAAUGUUGAGAGCCGAAGGAUUCAAGGUUUCCUGAGAUCUUUGGACCAAAAAAAAGAGUAAAUGCCACAAAUAUUCUACUUGCUUUUGCAACCAGUGCCAAUUCAGAGACCCACACAGGACCACAUGCUGCUAAACACACAGAAAAAAAUGUUGAACAGAAUGGCAUUCUGCCCUCUUUGCUUGCAGUGAGCUCGCUCUCAUCUAACAGCCGCUCAUUCUUCCCACGUGUCCAGCCUGGUAGAUUUGUGCUGUAGCAUGCACUGCUUCAGUCCUGAGAGACUGGCCAGAUUCCAGGGCCCUUGUACUCACUGCUUGAUGAAGCCAGAGGAAUGCCUGCAGCGGAUGAGCACAUUCCCAACCAGUGUGCAAAUGGUAAUGAAAUCACUGCAGCUUCCUGUGGGGAGUCAAACACCAUGACCCCAACCACAGCAAGAAGAUGCUGAUGGGUACAUUAAUAGAAAUAGAUUUUCUAGGAUGCAGAGUCCUUGCAUUUCACUCUAUCCUGGAUCAUUACCAUUAAAUUAUAGUGUUAUCUUUUUCUUUGACUUUCAGGAUCGUGUGAUUGCAUUUGUAAGAAAAGGUUUUCUUAGAUCUUCACUUGCUCAACAAGGAAAUGGGAUGCCGUGGGAAGUUAUGAGUUCCCUGCUUGGGGUGCUGGAUAACUGAUUGGCAGGGAUGUUGUGGAGGCGGAGAGGAGGACUCCAACCCCAGGAUGCUAUGAGUCUUUAGUGCCCAUUGUCCCUAGGACGCCACCAGAGGUAUGCAAUCUGAUGCGGAUUUCGCAACACAGCUUCUGAGGUUAGUGAUGCAAGUUCAUUCAGGAGAAAACUGUGUGGCUGGUGAGAUGGACCCAGGCUGUUGAGGCUGCUGCUGGGGCUAGAAGUGUCUGACUCACGCUUCACAGCCCCUGCCAGCAUUUCAGAAGGAAGCGAUGUUGUCUCUUGUUCUUCUUCCUCCGCUCAUCCCCUAAGCCAGGCGUCUGGUCUUCAGCCCUUGUCUCUUUCAUUGCACACAACCCCCUGAGAAAUCUCAGCCACACCCCAGCCUCAGCCCCCAUCUCUGUGAUAACUCCUAACUCUGUCUACAGCCUUGACCUCAUCCCUAAGCAGCAGACUCAUAUAGCAAACAGUUUAUUGGACAUCUUUGUCUCAUUGUCCUACAUUUCAAACAUGAUGUGUCUUAAAUUGGGAUGUUUUCUCCUGGCUUCAAAUCUGAAGUCCCUCAUCCAGCCAGCCACCCCAUACAGAAACCUUCCUCCGUCUCCCUCUUAAGCUCAUUUCUACCUUGUGUGCAAGUCCCGUAUAUUCCACUUCUAUGGUGUCUCUUUUUAUUGGCCUUUUUCAUUCUAGCUCUAUUGCCACUGAUUUCAUUCCUGCCAGAGUGAGUAUACUUCAACCCAAGUGGGACUCCACCUCCACCAGGUGGUCAUUCCCCUCCAAAAAAAAAAAAAAAAAAAAAGCGUAAAACACAAAAAGACUGACAAUACCAAGUGUUGACAAGAAUACAGAGCAAUGAGAACUCCUGUGCAUUCCUGGUGGGCAUGUACAUGGGUAGAACAACUUUGGGAAACUAGUAGUAUCUACUCAAGUAGAUAUACGCAUAGCCCACGACCCAGCAAUUCCACUCCUAGAUAUGCAUGCAACAGAUUUACCCCCAGAGGAGCAUGUAAAGGCAUGUACAGGAAGGUUUACAGCCCCAAACUGGAAACUGCACAAAGCUCAUCAACAAUUGCAGUGCAUCCAUACAAUGGGAUAUUAACCAGCAAUGAGCAAGAACAAAGUGCAUUUAUGUCUAACAACAUGGGGGAGUCUUGCAAACAUAUGUGGAGUGAAAAAAGCCACACACAAGAAAAUAGCGAAAACUAGUUUAUGAUGUUAGGAUGGUUAUUUUUCUUGUAUGUAAGUAGUUCCCGAAAGAGGCCAGAGGGGGUCUCUGGAGUUUUAGUAAUAAUUUGUUGUUGUUGUUUUAAUCUGAGUGCUAUUAUGUAGAUGUGGUCAGUUUGUGAAAAAUUUUGUACUUUUCUAUACACAUGUUACAUUUCAAUAAAAAGUUUACUAAAACACA